UCAUGGUGUUUUGAGGCUUCUAUACAGCC
rnacentral:sRNA from 1 species